UGAGGAAUAUUGGUCAAUGGGCGAGAGCCUGAACCAGCCAAGUAGCGUGCAGGAUGACGGCCCUAUGGGUUGUAAACUGCUUUUAUGUGGGGAUAAAGUGCGUGACGUGACAUGCAUUGCAGGUACCACAUGAAUAAGGACCGGCUAAUUCCGUGCCAGCAGCCGCGGUAAUACGGAAGGUCCGGGCGUUAUCCGGAUUUAUUGGGUUUAAAGGGAGCGCAGGCCGCCCGAUAAGCGUGUUGUGAAAUGUACCGGCUCAACCGGUGAGUUGCAGCGCGAACUGUCAGGCUUGAGUGCUCGGUAAGCAGGCGGAAUUCAUGGUGUAGCGGUGAAAUGCUUAGAUAUCAUGAGGAACUCCGAUUGCGAAGGCAGCUUGCUGCAGUGCGACUGACGCUUAGGCUCGAAGGUGCGGGUAUCAAACAGG
rnacentral:rRNA from 1 species